GCUGACACCAAGGCUCUUAUACUGAAGAUAGCCCUAUCCUCAUCUUAAGCUAGCCAUUGAAACAACACUUCCUCUCUUUCCAUUAUAUAUAUUCUACCUAGAAUGCAAAAGUUAUAUAUAGAGAGGCCAUUGUUAUGUUGUUUGCAUGUCGAAAAUUGUGCGGUAAUAGAGCAAGCCGGUGAAAUUACAGGGCAACAGUAGUGACUCAGUACUUCAUUUUUAGCUUUCGUUAAACAGCUCUCAUGGCUUCUACAGAUGUCAUGUUGUCUUCGCCAGUGGCCAGCGAUGGCUUGAAGAGCAAGUUCUUGGCGAGCCUUGCACUAGCAGUAGUACAGGCACCUGCAGAUGCCAGCAGCAGCAAAAGGCAGCAGGUGAAGAUCGCUACCAAGCAGCAGCAGAUGAAACCGCGGUUUGCCCUGGAAUUGGACGUGCUCAACUGCUUCGACACUCUAGUCUCUCUCUGAUCGAUCGGUGAAUCUAUUCACUGGAAUUUUGAUCGAUUCCUUGUGCGUUUUUGUUACAAAUUUCCCCUAUUAAUUAGUUUUGCCCAUACAGAUAUGCAUCCAUCCAUGCACAUGUUUUUCUGUUGGUUCACGACCAGCGAAUGUAGAACUGAAAACAAAUACUGUGAAAUUGAUUGACUACUGCAACGGUUCAACCA